UGUGCUGUCUCACAACAUCUUUCUGAAUUAUCACUUUAUUUUUGAGACAAGAGUUUAAUCUUUCAAACGAAGUGUAUGCUGAUGGAAGAGGCCAGUGGUUCUGUAGGCGGAAGAGAAGAGCAGCGCUACCCUUGUGCAUGGGAGAAACAUUAAGAUGAAGGAAACAGCUAAUGGAGCCAGACUGCCUGGAUCUGAAAUUGGUUCUGCCACCAGCUAUAAUCAUUUACUGAGCAGACAUUGAACAAACUGCUGGGGAUGCUACUAUACUGACUCUGUGUAGGACCUAAUUGGAAAUUGAAGAAUCCAACGGAAAGCAAGAUGAAAAGGCAAGGGUGUACCUAUUGAUCCCAGAUCCAGGGAGCCAUCAUUUGUCAGUAGACCUGCCUUCAGAUGUCCCAUAGGGUCUUCAGAGUUUACAGAACAACUUAAGAUCACUCCAAACCAGAGUCAGAGACAUCCCUGCCACGUAGCACAUAGAUUUAUAACUCGGUGCAAAGGUUUCUACAAAUACGAUUUCUUCACUCCAAAGUCCAUCUAUGCAUGCUCCCCAAAAUAAAGAACAGUGUAUUUCUGUCUGCUGGCCUCUAACUCCAGGACCCCAGGAGCAGGGGCAGGAGGAGUUCCAAAAAGGUCUUCUUAUAGCUCUGGCAAUAAUGACUAGCUCAAACAGGCUGGCACUGCUGUCGAGACAUCCAAGGACUUUUUUAUUUAUCACUCUCUUUUUUUUUCCAACUGAGAUGGAGUCCACACUGACACAAGCAGUCCAGAAAAAAGAAACUGUGUCUCUUGUAACUUUUACUUAGGUGGUGUAAAUGGGAAGAUCAUAACCCAAAGAUUUGGU